rnacentral:rRNA from 1 species
UACGUAGGGCGCAAGCGUUAUCCGGAAUUAUUGGGCGUAAAGAGCUCGUAGGCGGUUUGUCGCGUCUGCCGUGAAAGUCCGGGGCUCAACUCCGGAUCUGCGGUGGGUACGGGCAGACUAGAGUGAUGUAGGGGAGGCUGGAAUUCCCGGUGGAGCGGUGAAAUGCGUUGAUAUCGGAAGGAACGCCGGUGGCGAAAGCGGCGUGCUGGAUCUCUUCUGACGCUGAUGCGCGAAAGCUAGGGGAGCAAACGGG